rnacentral:rRNA from 2 species
UAAUCUGCGAUAAGCGCCGGUAAGGUGAUAUGAACCGUUAUAACCGGCGAUACCCGAAUGGGGAAACCCAGUGUGACUCGUCACACUAUCAUUAACUGAAUCCAUAGGUUAAUGAGGCGAACCGGGGGAACUGAAACAUCUAAGUACCCCGAGGAAAAGAAAUCAACCGAGAUUCCCCCAGUAGCGGCGAGCGAACGGGGAGGAGCCCAGAGCCUGAAUCAGCAUGUGUGUUAGUGGAAGCGUCUGGAAAGGCGCGCGAUACAGGGUGACAGCCCCGUACACAAAAGCGCAUGUGCUGUGAGCUCGAUGAGUAGGGCGGGACACGUGGUAUCCUGUCUGAAUAUGGGGGGACCAUCCUCCAAGGCUAAAUACUCCUGACUGACCGAUAGUGAACCAGUACCGUGAGGGAAAGGCGAAAAGAACCCCGGCGAGGGGAGUGAAAAAGAACCUGAAACCGUGUACGUACAAGCAGUGGGAGCACCCUUUGGGUGUGACUGCGUACCUUUUGUAUAAUGGGUCAGCGACUUAUAUUCUGUAGCAAGGUUAACCGAAUAGGGGAGC